ensembl:ncRNA C34E11.8 ncRNA
CAGCAAAAAUUUCAUAAUUUUUGCUCAUUGUGUGAGUGUGUGAAACGUGUGAGCGACACGCCACAUGGAAGCUGGUUCCAGUGCCUGUUGACAUUGGGUCAAUAUACAAAUACAUU